rnacentral:lncRNA from 1 species
UGAAGUUCCCUGGUCCAGGACAGAUGCUUACUUAAGACUGAGUGAUGUUUGGUGACAGAGGAAUUCAAGAUAAAGAAAACUGGGCAGCAUGAGAUGAAGACAUAGAAAUUGCUUGGAGUUUGUGAGCUUUUGUCGUCCAAAGGAAGGGAACUGUGUUGAAGAACAUUCAUUUUAAGGACAGUACAUCUGCAGUCAUGCAAAGGAUCACAGCUUGUAUAAAGCAAUAUCAUCAACAGCAUCAUUAUGGUCAUUCAAGACAUAGACCCCAGUGAUCCAUCUGAGCUAUGUUGUGUGCAGAAAACAACGAUUAAACCAUGGUAUAUUGUAGGGGUGCUCCAGAUGAUAGGUGGUGUGGCACUGAAUGUCCUGUGGGCAGUAGUCAUUUCCAACUCAUCUCAUUAUGAACUUUCUAUGAAACAGUCAGACCCUGUAUUGCCGUACAUCUAUCUCUUGGUGCCUCUCAUUUAUGUCUCAUCAGGAAUUCUGACCGUUAUGGCUGAAAACACACAGAAUAUCAAUGUGAUUGUGGCCUUCAUAUUGGUAAAAUUUGUGAGCUUUCUAGCUUCGCUGGCAUUCACAGUAAUGCAUGGUGCAAAUUCAUUUGCAUUUGCACGGAUGAAAGCUAUAUUCCCUGCAGACAUCGCAUCUUUCGUCCUCACACUGUUUGAGUUCAUCUUGUCUCUUUGCCUCUACUUUGCUGCUGGUUACUCUGAAGAGACAAGAAACUCACCCCAAAUCUUCAGCUCAUGAUGAAAUAAGGUUGAACUCUGCAUAUCUGCAUAAGACCAAGACUAAUUUAUGUGGCUGUCCUGAGGUGGUUUGAGAGAAUACCUUCAUGUGCUUUUCUUUAUCUUUUUUACUGUUGCAUCAUCUGGGAUAUCUUUAUCUAUACAAUAAAGAGGAGUGGAAGUCUUCUCAGGAGAAUAAUUGUUACUAAUUGUUUGAUGCUGACUUUUCUGUGGUUUGCUUUCUACCCUCAAUGUGAAUACCUCUGAGGAUGAGGACAGAACUUAAAUUGCUU